UACCAUUUCUGCUAUCGUGCUUUCUAAUAAAACUGAUUUACACCAUCCCACUGUCCUUUUUCUACCUAGGCCUUUGAUCAGCUCAUAUGGUAAUAGCUGGGAAACAGCUCAUUCCUUAUGAAAUGUAGCAGAAUUUCCUUUACUUUUCCUUCCUGAAUUCUGAAAGCACAAUGCCAAGCUGAAUAUCUUCAGUGUCAAUGGAGAUGAGUCUCAAGUUGUUGUUGUGUAUGGUCCAGAAACCAGAAAAGAUGAUUGCACUUAAUAUUCCACUGCAAGCAAAAGAUGUAGUUAUUAAAUAAAAGGUUACCAAUCAGUCCUUCAAAUCUCCAUGGAACGACAACAACAAAAGUCUAAACACUGCAGCAAGUGAUCUACUUAUUCGAAAACUAUCCAUUGACCUUCUUAACAGAAUGGAAGCACAUAUGUAUUGAUUAUUGCUUUAAGAAAAAAGUGCCUUAAAAAUCCUUUUAUAAUUUCAACUUUCACUGCUCUGACUUGCAUUAAAUAUAUUAUGAAUGGAUUUCACCUCGGGAAGUGACUUUUUAUUGCAUUAUUCUUCCAGAGCUUUUUAGCUUCUUAACAAAGUUAUUUUAAUCUGUGUUUAUAGUGCCAAGGUCUGUCCAUUAUUUCAUAAAAUAAGCAGUGACUAUAAGUGAUGCUGUCACAUUACCAAGGUUUGUACCACAUCAUAGAUCUUUACAAAGUGGUUUGAACUGGUAUGUUCUGGGAUGGGUUGUGUAUAAUGGAGUGUGAACUUUUCCUUUGGUGACCUUUUUGCACACAUUAACUCAUCCUG
rnacentral:lncRNA from 1 species